GACGAACGCUGGCGGCGUGCUUAACACAUGCAAGUCGAACGGUGAAGCGCCUUCCUUUUUGGUGGGUGUGGAUGAGUGGCGAACGGGUGAGUAACACGUGAGUAACCUGCCCCCUUCUUCUGGAUAACCGCAUGAAAGUGUGGCUAAUACGGGAUAUUCUGGGUCUGUCGCAUGAUGGGUCUGGGAAAGAUAUUGUUUCGGUGGGGGAUGGGCUCGCGGCCUAUCAGCUUGUUGGUGGGGUGAUGGCCUACCAAGGCGGUGACGGGUAGCCGGCCUGAGAGGGUGGACGGUCACACUGGGACUGCGACACGGCCCAGACUCCUACGGGAGGCAGCAGUGGGGAAUAUUGCACAAUGGGCGCAAGCCUGAUGCAGCGACGCCGCGUGAGGGAUGGAGGCCUUCGGGUUGUGAACCUCUUUCGCCAGUGAAGCAGGCCUGCCUCGUUUGUGGGUGGGUUGACGGUAGCUGGAUAAGAGGCGCCGGCUAACUACGUG
rnacentral:rRNA from 1 species